CCCGUGGUGUAGUGGCCCAACAUACGGCCCUGUCAAGGCCGAGAUCGCCGGUUCGAAUCCGGUCGGGUCCGCUUCCA
rnacentral:tRNA from 1 species